AGCAUGCAGAGAGUUGCUGAAGACAUCGAACAACCUGAACCUCCUCCACUUGGUCAUUAUGAAGAACUGGAUACUUCACCCAGCUCAGGUCCACAUUACGAAGACCUAUCCAGGAAUGUGUCGUCGUCAAGGCCCUCUAACUCGAGAGUUUACGAGAAUACCGACGUCAUGUGAAACCAGUAUAAACAUAUAUCGCAGAAAAGCCAUAUUUCAACGGCUGGA